ensembl:lncRNA
GCCAGAUACAGGCUGCCCUACAGACCUUACAUGGGGCCAUGGCUGAGUUCCCACCUAGAUCCCCGGCCAAGAGGUGGGCCAGAUACAGGCUGCCCUACAGACCUUACAUGGGGCCAUGGCUGAGAUCCCACCUAGGUCCCCGGCCAAGAGGUGGGCCAGAUACAGGCUGCCCUACAGACCUUACAUGGGGCCAUGGCUGAGAUCCCACCUAGGUCCCCGGCCAAGAGGUGGGCCAGAUACAGGCUGCCCUACAGACCUUACAUGGGGCCAUGGCUGAGUUCCCACCUAGAUCCCCGGCCAAGAGGUGGGCCAGAUACAGGCUGCCCUACAGACCUUACAUGGGGCCAUGGCUGAGAUCCCACCUAGGUCCCCGGCCAAGAGGUGGGCCAGAUACAGGCUGCCCUACAGACCUUACAUGGGGCCAUGGCUGAGAUCCCACCUAGGUCCCCGGCCAAGAGGUGGGCCAGAUACAGGCUGCCCUACAGACCUUAAAUGGGACCACAAUUAACCAGCUAUACAAAAAUCUAAACGCAACGCGCAAGAAUUUCAAAGAUUUUACUGAGUUACAGUUCAUAUGAGGAAAUCAGUCAAUUUAAAUAAAUUCAUUAGGCCCUAAUCUAUGGAUUUCACAUGAGUGGGAAUACAGAUAUGCAUCUGUUGGUCAGAUACCUUUUAAAAAAGGUAGGGGCGUGGAUCAGAAAACCAGUCAGUAUCUGGUGUCAACAACAUUUACCUCGUAGAGUUGAUCAGGCUGUUGAUUGUGGAAUGUUGUCCCACUCCUCUUCAUUGGCUGUGCAAAGUUGCUGGAUAUUGGGGGGAACUGGAACACGCUGUCGUACAUGUCGAUCCAGAGCAUCCCAAACAUGCUCAAUGGUUGACAUGUCUGGUGAGUAUGUAGGCCAUGGAAGAACUGGGACAGAUCCUUGCGACAUGGAGCUGUGCAUUAUCAUGCUGAAACAUGAGGUGAUGGUGGCGGAUGAAUGGCACUGUUACGUUCCCCAGAUUAUGUGUUGUAGAUUGUGUAUUUGCAUGUGUUUAUUUCAGGAAAUGGCUUCCUGAAAUCCCUCAAGCAGCUGAUUGGUUGACUCCAGGGCUAAUUGGAGAGCUGACCCCGCCCCCUCGUCAAGACACAGCUGUCUCCAAUUACCCAUUCCUUCUGAAGCUAUAUAAAAGCCAGUGUUCUGUUCAGGAGGGAGAUCUUUUUGGAGGUAGAGAUUUUGCUGGAGGUAGGGAUUGCUGAGAUUGAUUGUGAUAGAGGUUGAUUUUGAUAGAGGUUGAUUUUGCUGGAAAGUGGUAUGUUCUGUGAGUUUGUUGCUCAGAUAGAGCUUAUUUGACAUCCUUUUGUUUCUUAGUUUGUUUGAAAUUGUUUAAUAUUCUGUUUCAUUUGUUCCCAGGGGGGAAGGGGAAGGCACCUAGGGAGUGCUUAGGCAAGAGGCCCGCGGGCAUACAUAUACCCAUAGCAUAUUCACUGUCUAGACACACUAGGUAAGACCUGGGCGGACCACCCCUUGUAUUUUGGUUAGGGCACCAGGUGGUGCUAAAUUAUGUAAGUAGUGGGUAGGCAGGUAAGAUAGGAGAGGGGGGGGGCUUUGAGAUUUACUUUCUUUGCUUUGGUUCCGUCCAGCCCCUUUUCCCCAUAUUACCGUGUAAAGGAAUAAAGUCCUUGGAAACGG